AGCUUUGCGCAGAGGCAGUGUCAUACCCCGUGAGGUUCUACCGAGGCGUGACUAUUGCUAGUUGAAAACUCACUAAGUACUUACACAUGAUAAACUGUACAAAAAAUACCUACAUAUGACAAGUUCUUAUAAUGAAUUUAAAAUAUUUA
rfam:Stegodyphus mimosarum contig75283, whole genome shotgun sequence.